ACGAAGGGUGCAAGCGUUGUUCGGAUUUAUUGGGCGUAAAGCGCGCGCAGGCGGAUUUUCAAGUCAGAUGUGAAAUCUCGGGGCUCAACCCCGAAACUGCGUCUGAAACUGUUAAUCUAGAGUCUCGGAGAGGGAAGGGGAAUAUCGCAUGUAGGGGUAAAAUCCGUAGAGAUGCGAUGGAACAUCAGAGGCGAAGGCGCCUUCCUGGACGAGUACUGACGCUGAGGCGCGAAAGCGUGGGGAGCAAACAGG
rnacentral:rRNA from 1 species